CCAUACACAUGGACUAACAGAUUCCUUGAUCCUAGCUCCUUGCUUGCUCCUUCUCUUUUGAAUCAUACAACUCUCUUUACUCCUUGUAUUCCUAAGGCUAGAAAUCUUUAGUUUCUUACAAAAUUAAGCCAAUCGAAAAUUUGGUCAUAACAAGUAACAACCAAAUCCACCUUAGUGUUGAAUUCCAGUUCCCCUCCUCUUGGUGUUACAAAAGCAAUUGUAAUAUCUGAGGCAAGAGCAACAAAACUCAGAUAACCAGACACUUUGUAUACUGGUCGAUAUUGAACGAGAGGUAAAACCUACUUGAAUUAUGCUGAAAACUAAGUUUAAUACUUAAAUAGCAUGAACAAUGCAGAAAAAAAGACUUAGAAGAAAAGAUAUUUCUAAGAACUUACGUAAAACAUCUAAUUUAAGAUUGUGAAUAAGAUAUAAAUAAUAAAAUACCAAUCUUAGGCCCAAAACUCAAAAUAUAUGAGAUUCCUUGUAGCAUGCGGCACCAAAAAUUGGUUUUUAUAACUUCUACCUCUUGGCCUCUUGGAUUUCUAAAUCUUCAAGUUCAUCUACCAAAAAGACUAAUGAUCCUGUAAAAUAAGAAAAACUCGUCAGUAUGAAGCUGACUAAAGUUAUGUUUACAUGCAUGUUUCAAUGACAUUAAUGGAUCGGAUGACUUUCACAUAUUAAUAUCCAGAGUUGAAACAAUUGACUUAGGUUACUGUAAGAAGUACAAGGGACGCGUAUAUUUACUGGAUCCUUGUCGUAAACCUUUGAUAAUCUAAUCCUACUUAACGAAAGAUUUAC
rnacentral:lncRNA from 1 species